AACGAACGCUGGCGGCAUGCCUAACACAUGCAAGUCGAACGAGACCUUCGGGUUUAGUGGCGCACGGGUGGGUAACGCGUGGGAACCUGCCCUUAGGUUCGGAAUGACUCCCCGAAUGGGGUGCUAAUACCGGAUAAUGUCUUCGGACCAAAGAUUUAUCGCCUUUGGAUGGGCCCUCGUUGGAUUCGCUAGUUGGUAGGGUAAAAGCCUACCAAGGCGACGAUCCAUAGCUGGUCUGAGAGGAUGAUCAGCCACUCUGUGGCUGAGACACGGCCCAGACUCCUACGGGAGGCAGCAGUGCGGAAUAUUGGACAAUGGGCUAAAGCCUGAUCCAGCAAUGCCGCGUGAGUGAUGAAGGCCGUAGGGUUGUAAAGCUCUUUUACCCGGGAUGAUAAUGACAGUACCGGGAGAAUAAGCUCCGGCUAACUCCGUG
rnacentral:rRNA from 1 species